AUUAAACGCUGGCGGCAUGCCUUACACAUGCAAGUCGAACGGCAGCACGGGGGCAACCCUGGUGGCGAGUGGCGGACGGGUGAGUAAAGCAUCGGAACGUAUCCUGGAGUGGGGGAUAACGUAGCGAAAGUUACGCUAAUACCGCAUAUUCUGUGAGAAGGAAAGCAGGGGAUCGCAAGACCUUGCGCUCUGGGAGCGGCCGAUGUCGGAUUAGCUAGUUGGUGGGGUAAAGGCCUACCAAGGCGACGAUCCGUAGCGGGUCUGAGAGGAUGAUCCGCCACACUGGGACUGAGACACGGCCCAGACUCCUACGGGAGGCAGCAGUGGGGGAAUUUUGGACAAUGGGCGGAAGCCUGAUCCAGCCAUGCCGCGUGAGUGAAGAAGGCC
rnacentral:rRNA from 1 species